rnacentral:rRNA from 1 species
UAAUUGAAGAGUUUGAUCAUGGCUCAGAUUGAACGCUGGCGGCAGGCCUAACACAUGCAAGUCGAGCGGCAGCACAGAGGAACUUGUUCCUUGGGUGGCGAGCGGCGGACGGGUGAGUAAUGCCUGGGAAAUUGCCCGGUAG